GACGAACGCUGGCGGCGUGCUUAACACAUGCAAGUCGUACGGUAAGGCCCUUUCGGGGGUACACGAGUGGCGAACGGGUGCGUAACACGUGAGUAACCUGCCCACAACUUUGGGAUAACGCUAGGAAACUGGUGCUAAUACUGGAUAUGUGCUCCUGCUGCAUGGUGGGGGUUGGAAAGCUCCGGCGGUUGUGGAUGGACUCGCGGCCUAUCAGCUUGUUGGUGGGGUAGUGGCCUACCAAGGCGGCGACGGGUAGACGGACUGAGAGGGUGACCGGCCACAUAGGGACUUAGAGACGGCCCAGACGCCUAAGGGAGGCAGAAGUGGGGAAUAUUGAACAAGGGGCGCAAGCCGGAUGCAGCAACGCCGCGUGCGGGAUGACGGCCUUCGGGUUGAAAACCGGUUUCAGCAGGGACGAAGCUUUUUGUGACGGUACCUGCAGAAGAAGCACCGGCUAACUACGUG
rnacentral:rRNA from 1 species